rnacentral:lncRNA from 12 species
UUCUUGCCUGAAACCCUUUAAAACCUCGAGAAAUCUGCCCCUCUCAGAAAAUGCACACACGCAUGUGCAUGUUCCUCGACUCUUGCACACCAGGUCCACGGACCAUAGUAAAACUGGUGCUACACAAGGACGGCCGUGGCCACGUGAAUCCUGAAUCCUCAGCACCAGCACCACCUGGCUGGGAGUAGGCACCCAAUAAAUGUUGAGGGGUAGAUGAAUUAACGAGAGGUCCAUACCCCUCAAGGUAUGUUUCUUGCUCGGCAACAUGUUGAGCUACAAAAGGCACACUGUGUCCCAAGUGCCCUGAUAUAUCCAGGUAUGCCUUCCCUCCCCUCCUUUCAAAAAUACCAUUCUAAAUUCAUCCCGCUUCCUCCAUAAAUUAAGUCUCCAUCAUCUAGGGUCAACGUGUAUAGUUGUACAGGUUGUGCACUGUUACAGUACCAAGUGCCCAGCCAAAGAGGAGAGUACGAGCUGAAUCCAAGCUUGCCUGCCAGGGCCGGGCUGGGUCUGCCUUGAGGAAGAGGCACCAUUUGUUUGCAGUUACGUGCUUGCCAGAGGGAAGUAAUUAUAUUUUUUUAUAAUUCACUCAAGGAAGAAGUGCGGAGGAGCUGGGGGGCCUCCGGCAGGCGGCAAGAAUCCCUGGGGUGCUUUUCUCCAAAAUCCAGGUCAAGAGUUGAGGAAGAUGGACAUACGCCACCUAUUCAUUACGAUUUACAGUUGGAUCACAAUGGGGAACAUUCCGGAAAGAACAUUAACGACAGACAUGGAUUCCACGAGACUGUCGGAGUCUCUUCUAAUUCUUUCCUACACUGACCGCAGAGUGGCUGAGACGUGGGUGAGCCCAGGAGGCAGUGGAGAUGAAGCAGGAGCAGGGGCGGAGGCGCCGGACCUCAUGGGGGCCCAGCAGCGGGCAUGAGGCCCCCGGAGGGAGCAGCUGCCCCAUGGGGUCUGCAGCCCGGACCCUCCUCCUUCCACGGCCGCCUCUGCUCUUCUGGCUCCGGGUGAGGACGGCUUCCGCCCUCUGCCUACAGCCGCUCCUCCCCUGGUGCGGCGUCUACCCCUCUGUCAAGGGUUCUCUCGGGUCCUUCCCUUCGACGGACCGCAGGACAAGCAGGCCAGACACAGCAGGAGGGGCAUUGUGACCCGCACCAGGCAACCUUCCCGAGCUGCUCCCAGCGCCAGGCACCGAGCGGGGCCCUUGACCUGCGUCACCUUUCAUCCGUCACCGCAAACCUCUGGGGCUUACUUUACACACCUGCCUCCGGUUUUUCAUCUAUAAAAGAAAAACGCCCAAGGGCAGUCAUCACAUCACAUGGUCUCACUCAUUUGGGGCCUAGGAGUAGGGGAAGGGAUCACGGGGGAGAAGAGGGGACCGGGUGGGAGAUAUCAGAGGGGGCGACAGACCCCGAGU